rnacentral:lncRNA from 1 species
UGCUGACUCGCCUUCAUGUUCACACACUAGCAUAUCAAGUUAUCCUCACAACACAGCCUUCAAGAUGGAAGCACUCACGCGCCGGAGCAGCAAGGGCCGCUCUUACUGCACAAAGAUAUAUCUGCGGAACUUCAGAGGUGGAUGUUGUGACCGAGCAAAAUUAAUACUCAAUGAAAGUUUCUCAACUUCGAGGAUAAUUGGCAGUAGACGAGUUUCAAUUAUUGAUGACAGUCCAGUUCUUGUUGGACAGAAAUCUCCACAGUUUGAGAUCUGCGUUGCUCCUGUUUUAGUCUGCACUUCACCACGGCAAACAGCAGGUGGUGGAGACAACAUUUCCGCUGCUGGAUAGCACCUCAACUGUAAUUGCUCCUUUGAUCUCAUCAUAGAUGAUUGUGACAUAUGGGGAGAUUGUCAUCCCUUAAGAGACAUAUGUUCAAAUGAAAUUUUUCGUGGUCACGGAGAACACAGUUAUACAAAGUCGUAUUUUUUGUUCGCCGCAACAAUUGUCUCUUGUUACCGAUUUUGUGUUAUUUGCGUCACUUUUCACAACCAAUGAGAGCAAAGCAGCUAGAAGUGAGGUUAGAAAUCUUGUUACAAAUGUACACAACAGUCGUAAGAAGACUCUGAGGACGUUCCGAUUUUUUUCGAAACAUGUUCCAACCAAACGUUACAAAUUUGUGCAAUUAAAAACGAAUAAAAAUAGGCCACGCCCCUUAACAUAAAAAACAUCCAACAAAAAUAUGGUUGUUACAAGAUGUUUCCAAAUGUUUCGUCGAACCAAAAUACGACUCAAUAUCUGCAGUUAUAAUUUCCUUGGGGAUGGUUUUAAAAUAUGCAAUUCUAAACUGCAAAUUUUUCGACCCUCCAUUCCUCUCCCUAUCCUUUAAGACUUAAAAAACAAAAUGGCGUAAAAUCUCUCCUCAACCUCCUCUCCCCUAAAGCAUUAUGUAUUUAAUGAAUAAGUACAUAAUAAAUAUAUAAUAAUAAUAAAUGGACUUCAUUAUACAAUUGGGAACUAUAUUUUUGGGUUCAUUCAUAGAAGAACUCUCUUAAACAGGCCAACUUAUGGCAUAUGUUCUGUUCCUAAAAUAAACCAGAAAUAAAGGCUUCGUAUUGCGAAGUGUAGUUUAAAUAGUAUGUUGAAUUUGGACUCGAAAUCGAAAACUAGUGGUGCAUAAUAACUUUUUUGGUUUUAAGUUCAAUUUUAAAACUAGAAUAUUUGUAUUUGUAAGAAGUUAUACAAAAUUUUGAAAGGCCCGCAUAGUUCAUGAUCCUGUUUUUCUUAUGCAGCUUAUCUAUUCGUGAAAAGGAAUUUUUGAGCAUUUUACAUGCACUGAAAAAAUAAAACUGAUUGAACUCACUGUUAACAAGAUUUGGUCUAAAUAAACCCUAAAAUCACCUGAGUCAAAAUAUUUCUGCUGAAUAUUAGCAAAAUUUUUCUCAACGCAAGCAUUUCCCUUCCUGGGUACAGAAAAUUUCUCCUUGGUGGAAAUUUCAAGAUAUUUUUGCCUGAAUCAAGGAACUUUAUUUUCAGGGUACGUUUAGCAAGCAAAAUGUAGCAGUGCUCUACCCUCUUUCAGCAAUUAGGAGAAGUCUUUUUCCUCCUUGCAGGCUGAUAAUGGACAUUGAUAGACAAAGGAUAGACUAAGGAGGAUAAAGAGAAAAUGGACAGAGUCUGUGGGUGGAAGGGGGUGUGAUUGUUUUAGACUGAGGAGAAAAUGAUGGUCUAACAUAGGGUCUCUCGUAGGUUGCUUACCUCCUUUGUCCAUGGCGACACCAGCUUUGACCAAUAGAAUCCCUUUAUUUUCCAUGGGAAUCAGGGAGGCGUUGCCACAUUUUCAUCAGUAUCAUGGUAAAAAGCUCACCACAUUUACUUUUUAGCCACCAUAUUCUGGAGACUGAUGCAUGAAAUUCCAUUUUUUAAAAUUAAUUUUAUUGGAUGUAUAUUAGAUAUAAUACCUAAAAAUAACAAAAUUUAAUUGGUGACAAGUCACAACGAAGUUCAAGAGGUUUCCUUAUUUGUUGGAAG